GCUUCCGCUGAGAAGAUAGUGGCGAACGGGUGAGUAACACGUGGGUAACCUGGCCAUAAGAGGGGGAUAACAUCCGGAAACGGGUGCUAAUACCGCAUAGUUUUCUUGAUCGCAUGAUUGAGAAAGGAAAGACGGCCUUUGUGCUGUCGCUUAUGGAUGGACCCGCGGCGUAUUAGUUAGUUGGUGAGGUAACGGCUCACCAAGACGAUGAUACGUAGCCGACCUGAGAGGGUGAUCGGCCACAUUGGGACUGAGACACGGCCCAAACUCCUACGGGAGGCAGCAGUAGGGAAUCUUCCGCAAUGGACGAAAGUCUGACGGAGCAACGCCGCGUGAGUGAAGAAGGUUUUCGGAUCGUAAAACUCUGUUGUCAGAGAAGAACAAGUCGGAGAGUAACUGCUCCGGCCUUGACGGUAUCUGACCAGAAAGCCACGGCUAACUACGUGCCAGCAGCCGCGGUAAUACGUAGGUGGCAAGCGUUGUCCGGAUUUAUUGGGCGUAAAGCGAGCGCAGGCGGUUCCUUAAGUCUGAUGUGAAAGCCCACGGCUCAACCGUGGAAGGUCAUUGGAAACUGGGGAACUUGAGUGCAGAAGAGGAGAGUGGAAUUCCAUGUGUAGCGGUGAAAUGCGUAGAUAUAU
rnacentral:rRNA from 1 species